AUGGAAAACUUUGUUCUUAAGCAGAAGUUCUGUCUGACUGAACAUGAAAGAUUGUGUUUGACAGUAACCUAGCCACUCAAAUGAAUACGAAUUUGACUGUUCCAAUUAAAAGUUACAUCUACACAGAAUGGUCACUCAAAUGGCUAGUCUGUCUUAUACCUGGGGCUAUCAGUAUGGCCACCUCCAUCAUGGCUAUCCUUGGAGUCCUGUCAGAGCCUUGCUUGUUAUGGAAAGGGAAGAUUGUGUUAGCCUUGUUACUGCAUCCACUGCAUUUCAUAUUUUCAUUUGUAGUGCUCAU
rnacentral:sRNA from 1 species